GAUGAACGCUGGCGGCGUGCCUAAUACAUGCAAGUCGAGCGAACAGAUGAGGAGCUUGCUCCUCUGACGUUAGCGGCGGACGGGUGAGUAACACGUGGAUAACCUACCUAUAAGACUGGGAUAACUUCGGGAAACCGGAGCUAAUACCGGAUAAUAUAUUGAACCGCAUGGUUCAAUAGUGAAAGACGGUUUUGCUGUCACUUAUAGAUGGAUCCGCGCCGCAUUAGCUAGUUGGUAAGGUAACGGCUUACCAAGGCAACGAUGCGUAGCCGACCUGAGAGGGUGAUCGGCCACACUGGACCUGAGCCACGGUCCAGACUCCUACGGGAGGCAGCAGUAGGGAAUCUUCCGCAAUGGGCGAAAGCCUGACGGAGCAACGCCGCGUGAGUGAUGAAGGUCUUCGGAUCGUAAAACUCUGUUAUUAGGGAAGAACAAAUGUGUAAGUAACUAUGCACGUCUUGACGGUACCUAAUCAGAAAGCCACGGCUAACUACGU
rnacentral:rRNA from 1 species